rnacentral:tRNA from 1 species
GACGUGUUGGCAGAAUGGUUAUGCAAUAGACUGCAAAUCUAUAUUAUUCUGGUUCGAAUCCAGAACACGUCU